AGUGAACGCUGGCGGUAGGCCUAACACAUGCAAGUCGAACGGCAGCACAGUAAGAGCUUGCUCUUACGGGUGGCGAGUGGCGGACGGGUGAGGAAUACAUCGGAAUCUACUUUUUCGUGGGGGAUAACGUAGGGAAACUUACGCUAAUACCGCAUACGACCUACGGGUGAAAGCAGGGGAUCUUCGGACCUUGCGCGAUUGUAUGAGCCGAUGUCGGAUUAGCUAGUUGGCGGGGUAAAGGCCCACCAAGGCGACGAUCCGUAGCUGGUCUGAGAGGAUGAUCAGCCACACUGGAACUGAGACACGGUCCAGACUCCUACGGGAGGCAGCAGUGGGGAAUAUUGGACAAUGGGCGCAAGCCUGAUCCAGCCAUACCGCGUGGGUGAAGAAGGCCUUCGGGUUGUAAAGCACUUUUGUUGGGAAAGAAAAGCAGCAGGUUAAUACCCCGCUGUUCUGACGGUACCAAAAGAAUAAGCACCGGCUAACUUCGUG
rnacentral:rRNA from 1 species